CCCGUGCGUUGCACGGGUUUACUUACAAUAUUAUAGAACAUUAUAUAUAAAUUAUUAUAGUUUAAAUAAAUAAAAUUUAAAAUAAUUUUAAUUAUAAAUAUAAAAAAAUUGUGUUAAUUAAGACAUUUCAAUAAAUAUAAUUAGAGUUAUUUUUUGUGUAAAUAAUUAAUAGUACUCAAAUUAUAUAAUUAUUAGCAUAGAAAUAAUCUUAACAACUUAAAAAUUUAUUUAUCCAAUGACAUAAAAAAUUGCUAAUUUACUUUGAAAUAUUUAAUUUAAGCAAUAAGUUAAUUUUAUUGUGUAAUAUAUUUAUUACAAAGAAAAUGUGAUGUUUGGUACAAUGCAUUCAAGUAUGGGUUCUUUUACCUAUGCGCUGCACAGAUUUGUUUUAAGUUGUAAUUUUAAAUUGUGAUAUUUUAAUUUGUAUAAAGGUAAGAAUAUUAAAUGAAAGUUCAUCAAAAACUUCAUUGUACACUAAAUUUUUUCGUAUAUUACGCAUAUGUAUCAUCUUUCUCAACAAUAAGUAUUUCAAUCCCUUUGGUAAUCUUACUUUAAACAACGCAAAUAUAAUUGGUCAUGAGAGCAUAUAUGUCUUGGCAAAUAUAAUCUCCCAUAGUUCAAUGACUGAUUUUGGCUUUUGUUAAUUGUCAUGGUGUAACAAACUUUAUUGAAAAUUGUUUCUUCUUAGCAUAAAAUAUCAUUUAGAAUUAUUUGUGGUAAAAACUAUAUGUGUUAUAAGCACUUUUGCACCAGUGUUACUUCCUGAAGUAUUUGCGACUCUAUUUUCUAUUCUCCUAGAUGUACAAUAAUUAGUUUUAUUCCAUUGCACAUUCCUAGGGUUGGAUUGAUGUUCCUGAGUAGCAUAAUUGACAUUCCUACUUUAAGGUGCAACAAUGGUUUGGGUAUUAUUGAAAUUUAAAGAAUUCAAGAACUUCACCGGAUACAUGAACUCUUGUUCAGUUAUAUAUAUUAUCAUUUGCAAUAUCCAUUUGUUGAAUUCAGAUGCCAAUAAAUUAAGUUGAGCAGAUGAUGAAGUGUCAACGAUCAUACUUUUAGAAAACAUAAAGAUCUUGAAGAAACCAACAAUGUCUUUUAGUGUUCUAUCAAGGGAUUCAAAUGCCAACCUUUUAGUCAUAGGUGUUUCAUUCCAAAUAAUCAAAUCUAUUUGAAUUAUUAAUUGAGCAAGCUGAGUAUUUUACUUGAUUAAGCUCGUACUAUCUUCAAAAACAUCUAGAGGUAUUUUAAAUCGACUAUGAGUGUUGUACCUCAAGGUAGUAAUUAAUAAUGAUACGCUCCCUGGAAUUUUUAAAAAAAAUAAAAGAUUAGAGUACAAUGAAUUUAAUACAUAUUAAUAUAGUGUGAUUAUUUAGUUUGUAAAAAUGUAUUUUUAAGUUACUAAAAAAAUGUAUUAUUAAGUUCAAUCAUCAUUGAUUAAAUAAAAAGAUAAAUAUUUGUUAAAUAUUUUUUAGUAAGAAUAAUUCAAAUAUUUAUCAUCAAUAACAAAAGUAAAUAUUAAAAUUACGUUUUAGUUUUGUAAAUAGAACAAAAAAAUUACAAAAUUAAGAAUUUUAAAAUAUGAAACCAUGACAAAUUAAUAUUAUGGCUAAAUAUUUUUUUAAAAAAAAGGCAACCACCGUAAAAAAAAAAAAAGAAGGCAGCCACACAAUAGGAGUAAGUCCACAUUGAAUUAAAAAAAAAUUGACAAAAAAAAUAAAUAAAUAAAAAAUAACAAAUAUAUGAGAAAAGGGAGAGUGAGACACGCUUCCCCUUUUUGUCAAAACAAAAACCCUAGCCACCACACCUGGCCUCUCCUCUUCUCCUCCUCCUUCCCUUACGACCACGAAACCACCAGCCAGGCCUCCGACAACUUCCGUCGGACAUGCGACCCACACCACUGACCCCCGUCCCACCCAAUUUUGUUUCUUUGUCAAACUUGUGUUGCACAGGACAAAUGACCACCGCUGCGUGACUUCCAGCGAGGCCCAUAGAGUUCAUAAUUGUAGACUAAAGUAGUAGUGUUACCAUGAUAUUCUCUCUAUGGUAUGGUCAUAUAAUGGAGUUUGAAUUGAAGGUUCCUCCUCUCCCUCCAUGUCAUUGAUUUGUGGAGGAAGUAUACUAUCUAGGCUCAUUCUGUGGUGGUAUCGAGCAAGGAGGGAGUAACUGUGAGUGUUUCAGCUUGACAUAUAUAUGUUUUUGGUUUCUGAUUUUAUUGUUAGUGUUAGUAAAUUUGAAGAACCUUGUGUAGAAAUGAAAUUUCUCUUUUUAUAGGAUAUAGAUUGACUUUUGUUCUAUGAGAUAUUCAUAUAGAAAAGCAUAAGAUAGAUAUAGAGUAGUUAUUUACCUGAUGAA